UACGAAGGGGGCUAGCGUUGCUCGGAAUCACUGGGCGUAAAGCGCACGUAGGCGGAUUGUUAAGUCAGGGGUGAAAUCCUGGAGCUCAACUCCAGAACUGCCUUUGAUACUGGCGAUCUUGAGUCCGGGAGAGGUGAGUGGAACUGCGAGUGUAGAGGUGAAAUUCGUAGAUAUUCGCAAGAACACCAGUGGCGAGGCGGCUCACUGGCCCGGUACUGACGCUGAGGUGCGAAAGCGUGGGGAGCAAACAGG
rnacentral:rRNA from 1 species